rnacentral:lncRNA from 1 species
GAGAGGACAAAAACCCUGUGGGUAGAUUCUUGAAAGGAAAGCAGAGUAGUAGAUGAAGCAGGCCCAAAAUGGAGUAAGGAAGCCCAAAAUGGAAUCUGCUGAGUCAUGACCCUCUAGAGAUCUUGUAAAAAACUUCUGUGAGGUGUCCUUUGGUUGUCUGGGACCUUCAAAGAACAUGAUUGGGUAGGCCAUUGGCUCAAGGGUGCAUGGGCCCUGCAUGGGGACUGUAUAAACAUUUCAUAGAUUAGACCCUAAAAAGUAUGUGGUCUCCUAUAGGGUAGAGAUUAUAUUGCAUACACAAUGGCCCAAGCUCCCCUUUAAUCCCCUUAAAACCCUUACACAAAGAGCCUUUAUGGGCAUCCUACAAGAACCCCCUCCUGGCUAGCUGGAGCUUUCCUUUUUUUUUUUUCUGUACUGGGGAUCGAACUCAGGACCUUGUGCUUGUGAGGCAGGGGGCAGAACCACUGAGCUAAAUCCCCAGCAGGAGCUUUCCUUUCUUGCCUUUAUACCUUUUAAAUAAAUUUGCUUAUACCCUGCCACCUCUGUUCAUAGGGAGGAGGUACCCUACUUCCUCUGAUACCCUACCUAUCACCAUGGAACCUGACCCCAGCAUUCUGAUAAGGUAUUUGGAAACUCAUCCAGGAUUCCAAAAGGAGGGAUUGAAUUCAGGAUCUUGCAUUUGUGAGGCAGGUGGCCGCACCACUGAGCUAAAUCCUGGCCCUGACUGUGCUUCUUAUUGCUUCUCUAACCUUAAUGACACAGGACUUAUACUGGGGUUCCUUGGACUCUCCCGCUGUAAUGUCUCCUUCCAGUAUGUAUGGGACUCUAAUAAAAAGAUAGGAAACUUCACUGGGGAACCCUCCCCUCCCGAAAACCAGAAUGAUAAAUCCUAUGAGUACCUCGACUUCUCUCAUUCCUCCUUUUGUUGGAAAAACAAACACCAUAAUGAUAUAAAAAACAGAGAUAGGAGCUUUGGGUUGCACUUCCUUGGCGGCUGUCAUCAUGGUGCAGAAGCUGAAGUUCCACCAGCAGAAGCUGCUGAAGCAGAUGGACUUCUUGAACUGGGAAGUCACCGACCACAACCUUUACGAACUGAGCAUGCUGUGACGCUACAGGCUGCAGCGGCGUGAGGACUACACACGUAUGGAAGACUUUGUCACCUGGGUCGACUCGUCCAAGAUCAAGCGACACGUCCUGGAGUACAAUGAGGAGCGCGAUGACUUUGAUCUGGAUGCCUAGCUGGUCUCGCUGUCACACCAGCUGCGUCUUCCGGCCAGAAAACAGGCCUGACGCUGGCCAUCUGAGGGUGCUCUCGACAAGCGUCCCCCAGUUGCAGAUUCUCAGGAACUUGGCUUCUCGACUGCAGGUCACAGAGCCGAGGUGGGGAGGGUCACUCCUGUUCUCCAGGAAAUUUUCUUAGAACUGACUACUAGUAAUUAAAUGAUGGUGCCUUCAGACAGUAGUGGGAAGCUGUUUUGUUCUACCCUGGAGAUUGUCUGGUGUCCUCUGGUACCAGAAGAUGUUGCAGCGUAAAAGCAGGAACAUUGCUCUCCUGUUCCUUUACCGUUUUGCAGCAGGACUAAUUUCUCCAGUUCAUCUAACUCGAAUAUUUGCUUCUGAUCAUGAGCAACCUGUGGAGAGUUUGGGCUCAAGUUUCCGUAAAGUGAGUGAGACUUUGGUGUUUAGGGUUCCCCCAUUUAAAGGAACACUUUCCUGAUACCAAUAAAUGGCCUGUUCACUUUUUAAAAAACAGAAACAUAGACAGAAUCCCUGUUAACACUAAAUGACACCAAUAAUAAUAGCUGAGAUUAUCUCCCACAAUGUUUGGUCCUUGUACUCAAAGAGACAGGACAUUACCUUAUCUCCAGAUUUUCUCUUUUCACUCUUAUCACCCAAAACUAUGUGUCACAGCUCCUACAAUCACACCAUUAAGACCCCCUCUAUACAUAGACAACUGGCUUUCUAGAACCAGACUUUUCCUCCACAGGCCCAUGGUCACCCUGGGUCCCCAGCAUCUCCUCCACUGACAUAGGUUUGCAAUCCAUUUUUAAGCUUGCCUGACUACAGGGCAAAACCACCACCAUCUCCCUCACAAAAAGUGGCCUCUAUUUCCUCUGCAAAAAACUCAUACCAUACUCUGCCUUUCUCAUAGAGGAAAAGAUAUACUCUUUCCACCGCCCUCCCCCCCAUAUCUGAUUCUUUAACCAAUCCACCUUUCAAAUAUUUAGGUCCAUCUCUAAUCUGAGCUCAUUCCUAGAACAGUCUGUCACAUAGUCUAGGUUCAAAAAAUUUCUUAAGGGACCCCAGUUAAAUCUCCCUCUUUAAAUCCCUAUGGGAGUGAGCCUGGAUCCUUAUAAGAUCUUUCAUACCAAUGUUGAUGCUCUUGCUACUCCUCUAUAUUUUUAUACCCUGUUUUGUUUACUAAAUCUUUCUGUUGGCUUUGUUUCCUCUAGCCUAAAGCUAUAGUAGUCAUCAUCCCUUUUUUCUAACAACAGUUAGGGUCACCUCUUCAGAGGGAGUAAUGUAAUAGAAAUUAGUGAGAUAGGAGUUGGGAUUCUGUUAGGCAGUAAGGAUUCUAUUAGGCACCAGGUCCACAAUGGAGUCUGCUGAGUUACACCCUCCAGGGAUCUUACAGAAGCAUCUUCCAGGUAUCCUUCAGGUAUCUAGGACCUCCUCAGAGCAUGAUCUGGCAGGCCAUUGGCUCAAGGGUACAUGGGCACUGCACAAACACUUCAUACAUUAGACCCUAAAUGGUAUGUAGU